AUGGCUAUGCAGAUAGAGGAACUCCGGAUUGAAUCAUCGGACUUGAGAAGAAUUACCAACGAUUUUUCAGACGCCAAGAAAAUUGGAUGUGGUGGCUAUGGAGACGUUUACAAGGCAGACUACAACGGGGAAGAGAUAGCAGUGAAGUUGCUUGAUCCGACCAAAGGAAUUGACGACCAACAAUUUAUGAAGGAACUCUAUAACCACAUGGAAGUCAAACAUCGAAACAUUGUACGGCUGGUCGGGUAUUGCAAUGAAGAAAUCAAGAAAUACGUUGAGCAAAAGGUUGGCCCUCCUGUUUUUGGUAAACACAUAUACAAAGUGCUAUGCUUUGAAUAUAUGCGGCGUGGAAGCCUCGACAAGCAUCUCUCUGAAAAUUCUCUGGGAGAUGACUGGCGCACACAUUAUCAAAUAAUAAAGGGGACUUGUGAAGGCUUAUGGUAUCUUCACAAUGGGUUGGAACAUCGGAUCCUCCACCUGGAUCUAAAGCCUGGCAAUAUAUUACUUGACGAUUAUAUGGAACCGAAGAUUGCAGAUUUCGGAUUGUCAAGGAUUUACACUUCAAGCCGCAGCAAUACCAGAGUUAAGUUAGUUUCAGGAACAACGAAGUACAUGCCACCUGAAUUAAGACGUGGGAGUGAGAUAUCAGAGAAGACUGAUACCUACGGUUUAGGUGUUACAAUCAUAGAUGUAAUUAGGGGAUCGGUUGGUUUUGAACUUUAUCACGAGCUGGAGGCCACAAGAUUUGUUGAAAAUGUACGUACAUAUUGGGGACAGAGAGAUGGUACAGCACAUUUAGAUCAAGUAGAGGAAUGCACCAAGAUUGCAAUACGAUGUAUCCGUCAUGACAGAAGGAAUAGGCCCACGAUUAAGGAGAUUGUUGCGGACUUGAAUGCUACGGAAACUCCGAUUUUGGCCGAGGGUCCCCGUGCCUUAACAAUCAGUUCGUCACGCGGGAAGCUCGGCUCCCUCCAUGUUCCAGACAAGCUUUCUAGUUCCACUUCAGGAAGGGGGCCAUUGGACGUGGUGAUUGUGUAUGCCUUUGACUGCUAUCUGCAUACCCCAGCCUGGUACACGAUGAACGAUUGGGUUUUUUGGUUGGUGCAAGAGAAGCUCACCCACUUCGUUGACAGCUGUCUUGGUUACGUCAUGUUGACCCCUAACGAGUGCAUAUCAGGCAUGAAGUUAGUUGAAUCAGCCGACACAAAGGCAAGUGGCUACACAGACUACGACCGCAGGAGCACCAAAAGGAAAACCAUGGCAUCAGGCCUCGAAGAGGCGCAUAACAUAAUCAGCAACCGCGGGCACCACAACAGCAUCAUAUUGUUCUUCUCUGAUGGAUUGGUAAACAAUGAAUACUUCUUUCAUGGGAACGAGAACUUCAUCUCCCAAGUACCUGUCCACACAUUUACUCUUGGCGGGAACGCAUAUAACCAUAUCCUCCACUCCAUCGCAGCAAAUUCUCCGGGCGGGAAGUUUCACAGCACCUCAAUUCCAGAAAGGCCAAAUGUGUCAACAGCCUUCUCGAGGCUAUUGGAUAAACUCCUUGGCGACGCCUCGAAGGAUGAUGGGAAGCCUCCUAGUACCUUUUCAGGAAGGGGUCCACUAGACGUGGUGAUUGUGUUUGCCUUUGAUCGCACUAAUUCAACAGCCCAAACACGGUACACGGUGGCUCAUGGGGUCUUUUGGUUGUUGCAAGAGAAGCUCACCCGUUUUGUUGACAGUUGCCUUGGUUAUAUAUACGUCAUGUCAACCCCUAAGACAUACACAUACACGUUGGACAUGAAAUUAGUUUACUCGAAGGAGAAAAAGGAUGCUCCCUACACAGUGUUCAAUGAGCGCACGAGAACCUGCACGAAAAACAUGGCAUCGGGCCUCGCCGAGGCGCAUAAUAUGAUCAAAAACCGUGGGCACCACAAUGGUAUCAUCUUCUUGUUUUCCGAUGGAUUGAUAAAUAAGGGAGACUUCUUUGAUGGAACCGACAACUACGUUUCCGAAGUGCCUGUCCACACGUUUACUCUCGGCGGGGACACAUAUAACCAUGGUCUCCAAGCCAUUUCGGCAAAUUCUCCUGGUGGGACGUUCAACUCCAUUCCAGUUCCAGAGAAACCGCUUCUAUCAGAGCCCUUCUCAACACUGCUGGAUGGCCUCCUUAGCCGCACCAUUGUGGACUGA
rnacentral:rRNA from 1 species